rnacentral:misc_RNA from 1 species
GUUGAGGGUCUUGUUUUAGGACGUAUGCAUUUUUCUUUCUCAUUCUUGGUCUCUCCUAUGUCUCUGUUGUCCUCCCUGUCAAAUUAUUUUUGGAUUUAGACUUAGUGAUUGUUAGUUUCAUCCAUGACUUUUGGGUGAAUUCUGUUUAUUAAUUGUGUUUGGCAAAACAUGGAAGCAAAAUUCUGAUUAAAAGAAACGGGUAAAUGUGGCUUAUUAAAGAAAGAAAAAGAGACUCAAGAAAGCUGCCAGAUGCAAUGAAUGUCUGCUUGGAAGUGUUUAAAAGAUGUGAAUCAAAGGAUGGAAUUCUGGAAUAGUAAUGAUUGUUGAGUAACAGCUCCCAAAAAUUGAGGUUCUGGAAAAGAACAUCUAGUGCCAUUAUCUAAAGCCCCAGCGCUGUGCACCCCCCGCCUCA